AAGAAACAGAGUUGACCUUGAACGCUGGAAGCAGAGGAAACAUAAGCGAAGAGGAGUUUAUGUGACCCCUCUUUCAAAGGCAGUUGUGUUCAAGAGCCACAAAGCAAAGACAUUUUUCAGAAACAACGCACAUCGAUGUCUCAAUCAAGAGCGUCUGACACCAAAGACGCUACACUGGAAGAGGACACUCAGGCCACAAUCACAGACGACCCAGUCCAUGCGCCAACACAGGAGGGUGAUGUAGCACUGGACACAAUGACCAACGGCAAGAGACUGUCAACACAGCUUUCGUCACAACGUCACAAU
rnacentral:lncRNA from 15 species